rnacentral:rRNA from 1 species
UACGGGGGGGGCAAGCGUUGUUCGGAAUUACUGGGCGUAAAGGGUUCGUAGGCGGCUUGCUAAGUCAGACGUGAAAUCCCCCAGCUUAACUGGGGAACUGCGUCUGAUACUGGCGAGCUUGAGUGCAGGAGAGGAACGCGGAAUUCCAGGUGUAGCGGUGAAAUGCGCAGAUAUCAGGAGGAACACCGGUGGCGAAGGCGGUUCUCUGGGCAUGAUCUGACGCUGAGGAGCGAAAGUGUGGGGAGCGAACAGG